AACGUUGGUUGGGGAUACUCACUGACAGCAGCAAGACUGGCAGUAAUCUCAACCUUUGCCUUCAGACUAGAGCAGACCUCAUCAAUCAACCUAUCCAUCAAUGUAUGGGUACCUGUUAAGACGUUCAGGAUCCAGUUGUAAGAAUCAGCUGGGAACAAUGACUGCCAAAAGUGUCCAGAGGAAGUCUGCAGGACCUGGGUCUCUCCUAGGUGGAAUAUUCUUUGAAAUCAGCAGGGAACAGAUGUCCACAUCCUGGACUCAGGAAUUUGCGCAGAAGGAGACACUCCAAGCAGUGCUCCGACACACAAGAGGCCCCAGGAAUUCGGAGACCUGAGUAACCCCAAGGAAGCCCUGGCCGCACUCAGGCUGCUGUUUUCAGGCAAAACUAAACAACUCAUAUCAGUCCAAGCACAAAGGAUACUCUCCAAGGAUCAUGGACAUGGAGGUUUGGAUUGAUUUGCAUUCUUUUGCCAAGGAAAGCAUUAACUGGCCCUUUGGGAAGCCCACCUAGUCAAAGGCUAAAAGCUUUAUUGUGCCUGGAGGACAAUCUGCACUUCCGCUCCUUCGGGACUCACCUACUCUCGUGGUAAUUCCAUGCCAAACCACAACCUCCUAGGAAAUGGAUCUGACUCUGAGUCAGAGAUGCGUUCCAAGUCCUAGGGCUAUUGGCCCCGCCAACUUAUAUCCUCACCCCUUGACUGCCAUUUCUCUCUUUUGCCAAUACUGACACUAAUUGUAGAGUUCCCCAACUCCACGCUGCCACUUGCUUAUUUCGUUAUUAUUGCUCAACCUGUGUGACUAUUUUGGAGGACAGAGAUUCCUAGGUCUCUGUAUCUGGAUCUUUCUCUAAGCUGGCAAGUAACCUGCUUUAUCUAACCUUCCUACUGUCAGUGACCCAAGCAGUAGAAGUCACCUCCCUAAUUGUCUUCUAUGAGUUGGAAACCAAAUAAAAAGAUUUAUUAGAAAUAUGUAUAGAGUUAGAGCCUGUGUGUACUGACUGAAGUUCUAAAGGC
rnacentral:lncRNA from 1 species